CCUCAAAAAAGUCAUAUACCUGUAAUCUAGAUUAAAGAUAUCAUAUAAGCUUUGAUAUAACAUAAGUACUAGACAUAUCAUAAUGAAGAAAGAAAACCAAACAAGUUAAACCAGAAUCCCACAGAAUGGGACAGGAUUACUUUUACUCUUCUGCAUCAUUCUACUUUAUGUAAAGAAGCAGUCUGUCUCAGGAAAUGCCCAAAGAACAUUACUUAAACUAAAGGCCAGAUGUCUAUAUUGGCCACUAAACUCAUACCUAGUCAACGUUGUCUUUCAAUUGUAGUCGAUCAAAUAUUAAAUAUUAAUACACAUAGCGAUUUCAACGUUUCUAUUCUUACUUCUCUUUUUGUUCCCACUGCAUCAUUAAACAAGAUAAAACCCACAAACCCUAGACUUCUCUGAUAAAACUUAUCUUAUAUUAAUCAUUUUUGCUUAGCCAUGGCUGCUAGUAGACAUGGGCCCAGUCCAGGUUUGGACUAUAACCAGUCAAACCCAUUUGACUAGAACCACCUUGAACUGGACCGGACCGAUUUUGACAGGAUUGGUCCAAUUCUGG
rnacentral:misc_RNA from 1 species